UCUCAUGGAUGAGCAAAGAAUGUGGUUUCCUGAGAUGGAAGUUACUCCUGCUGAAGAUGCUGUGAA
rnacentral:pre_miRNA from 1 species